AUGGGAAGAGGGAAGAUUGUGAUAAGAAGGAUCGAGAACUGUACAAGCAGGCAAGUGACUUUCUCAAAGAGGAGAAAAGGUUUGAUCAAGAAAGCCAAAGAGUUAGCGAUCCUUUGUGAUGCACAAGUUGGAGUUGUUAUAUUCUCCGCCACUGGAAAGCUUUACGAAUAUGCAAACACCAGGUAUAGUAAAGCCCCUGACCCUGAGUAG